ACGUGUCUUUGACAACUUCUUCACGAAGCUUUUACGUUUGUCUCUCUGCAAUCUUCGAUGGAACACAAAAAGCUUUCCUCUCUCUUCUCUACCUCCACCCUACUCCGCGGCCGGCUCUGGUUUCCCUGCCAAAAACAAUGUUCACUUUUGCUUCUGUGGAGCUCCUCUCCUCUCCUACUCUGGUUGUGGGUAGACUUUAAUCGAAAGAGAGUGAAGUAUCGUCAUGGGUAUUGUUUGUUUCUGUUUGCAUGUUGAGGAUGUUGGGGGAGUACAUGAAUCUACGCAGCUCAGUCAGUCUACGGGACCAGUAUGUGUCUCAGAUGCUUUUGUUUAAAUUUUCUAAUCCUGACUGGAGCUGGAAAAGAGGAAGAAGAUCGUCUGUGGAAGGUGGCACAGGAGGAGGUUCAAAAUGCCAGUAGAUUAUGGAUCAGAAGGAGAUUGAUGGGAAUAGUUUGGAGAAGGUCAUCCCUUCUACUGUUGUUUUUGGGUGUUUCUCGGGGAAUCUUAGCCUUGCUCUGGUGACUAUCCUUUUUUCUCCUCAGGAAUUUGUAGACGUGGACAGUUUUUGGCUGAUUUAAAUUGGGUGACGCUAUUGUUUCCUGUGUUAUUUACCAUGAUAUUUGUGGAUUCUAUGGGAUGUUUCUAUAGCAAGAUCUUUUAUUUGCUUUUUGUUUCUUGAACUGAUGAUGCAAAAGUCAUUUCCUGAUCUUUAUUAAUGAAGGUUUUGGGAAUAUAUUUGUGUAAGUGGUGAACUCAUUUAAACGAAACAAAUGUAUCCUAUUUUCUGGCCAUUUCUGAAUCGGUUGUUUAUUCUUCAUGUUCAUGUGUGCAGUUUCUUAGAUCUCUGAUUGACAGCUUUCGCUGGGUGAUAUGUAAAUAUGACCUCAACGCAGUGAUGCUAUGAGGACACUUUUGGCCUAAUUGUUUCAUGAUUGGCUAAGUUCCUUUUAAUGCAGAGAAUUUGUGUAUAAUGGGAAAUUCAUACAAUAUUUUCCACUUUCAGGUUGAAUUUUAUUAAAAAUGUAAGUGUCUUGAUGUUGGAGUGCAGAAAGAUUUAUUAAGAUUGGGCAUGUCCAAUUUACUGCA